rnacentral:rRNA from 1 species
CGGCACAGGAUGGGUCUGCGGCGUAUCAGGUAGUAGGGGGUGUAACGUACCUCCUAGCCUUCGACGCGUACGGGUUGUGAGAGCAAUUGCCCGGAGAUGGAUUCUGAGACACGAAUCCAGGCCCUACGGGGCGCAGCAGGCGCGAAAACUUGACAAUGCGAGAAAUCGUGAUCAGGGGACUCCAGUUGGCUGGAUUAAUAUCCAGUCUGAACCGACUUUAAAUCGGUCGGGUAAUAGGGGCGGGAAAGACCGGUGCCAGCCGCCGCGGUAAUACCGGCGCCCCAAGUGGUCGUCACUAUUAUUGGGCCUAAAACGUCCGUAGCCGGUUUGGUAAAUCCGUGGGUAAAUCAGACAGCCUAACUGUCUGAAUUCUGCGGGGACUGCCAGACUUGAGACCGGGAGAGGUACGGGGUACCUGCGGGGUAGCGGUAAAAUGCGAUCAUCCCGUAGGGACCACCUGUUGCGAAGGCGCCGUACUAGAACGGAUCUGACGGUCAGGGACGAAGCCUAGGGGCACGAACCGGAUUAGAUACCCGGGUAGUCCUAGGUGUAAACGCUGUGGACUUGGUGUCGGGGACUUUCAGAGAGUUUCCGGUGCCGGAGUGAAGAUGUUAAGUCCACUGCCUGGGGAGUACGGUCGCAAGGCUGAAACUUAAAGGAAUUGGCGGGGGAGCAC